CAGCCGCCGCGGGAAUACGAAGGGGGCUAGCGUUAAUCGGAAUUACUGGGCGUAAAGCGUGCGCAGGCGGUUUGUUAAGACAGAUGUGAAAUCCCCGGGCUCAACCUGGGAACUGCAUUUGUGACUGGCAAGCUAGAGUAUGGCAGAGGGGGGUGGAAUUCCGCGUGUAGCAGUGAAAUGCGUAGAUAUGCGGAGGAACACCGAUGGCGAAGGCAGCCCACUGGGCCAACACUGACGCUCACGCACGAAAGCGUGGGGAGCAAACAGGAUUAGAUACCCCUGUAGUCCCUGUCUCUUAUAC
rnacentral:rRNA from 1 species